AGAGGACGGGCAGCCGGCAGGGUGGAGGGACAGGUGGAGAAACUGAGGCUCAGAUAAAUGACUAAGAAGUAAAGUGAGGUCCCAUAGCCAGUGAAUGGCAGAGCAGGGAUUCGAACCCAGGUCUCUCAUCUGGGAAGUGGGAUGAUAGCGCCAACCUAGCUGGAUUGCUGUGACUGCCAGCACAAUGCCUUCUAAGGGUUCAAGAUGAGAUUACUUAGUCCCAGAUGGGUUAAGUAACUGGCCCAAGGUCACAGCGCUGGUAAGCAACUGGGCUUCAAUCCAACCAUCCUGACUCCAGAAGCCUCUUUGAACUACCACCUUCUGCACCUGCCCCAGGGCUUCUUCGCCUGAGCCGGUGCCUUGCUGCCGCCCUGCUCAUCUCUUCUGGGAAGAUGCCUCUCAUCUUGCCAGUCCUCAAGCCAGAAGCCUCCGGUGCUGCCCUAGGGCUCCCUGAAUAGGCAUCCCUAAGGCAUCCCUCCUGGUGUUCAAACCACAUCCUUCCUGGCUAAGCUUCCAUUCCCCAGGGUAGCCCUCCACACUUUGGAGCCUCAGCUCACCUCUCACUCUCACACUUCAGUUUCACACUUCCCUUCUGAAUGGUCCCACCUCUGUGCUUUUGCUUAAGCUGUGCACACUUCCCAGAGUGCUCUUUCCCCUAUGUCUGCCUGUGCUCCAAUACCCUAUGCCUGAGCUGACCCAUGACAUACAAGCACCUACAGAGGCCUGGGGGAAGGAGGCAGUGGUAUGUGUGUCAGUGUGGGGAGUCAGUGAAGAGGUUUGGGGCUUUAGGGUCAGUUAUGUGACUUCAGGGCAAGUCCCCAUCUCCCUGAACCCCAGUUUCUGCAAAAUGAAGAUAUCCAUCCCA
rnacentral:lncRNA from 1 species